UACGUAGGGCGCAAGCGUUGUCCGGAAUUAUUGGGCGUAAAGAGCUCGUAGGCGGUUUGUCGCGUCUGCCGUGAAAGCCCGGGGCUUAACUCCGGGUCUGCGGUGGAUACGGGCAGACUAGAGGCAGGUAGGGGAGAACGGAAUUCCCGGUGUAGCGGUGAAAUGCGCAGAUAUCGGGAAGAACACCCGUGGCGAAGGCGGCACUCUGGGACGGUACUGACGCUGAGACGCGAAAGCGUGGGGAGCGAACAGG
rnacentral:rRNA from 1 species